CCCUACUGCNAUCGGGGUGGGANUANGNCNUGNGAGUNGAACGUUUCACAGCCNUGAGUGAAACGUGGCAUACGGCUCAGUAACACGUGGCUAACCUACCCUCGAGACGGAGACAACCCCGGGAAACUGGGGCUAAUCCCCGAUAGGUGAAGACUCCUGGAAUGGNUCUUCGCCCAAAAAGUGNNGNAAUCAUGCUUUCCAACAUUGCUCAAGGANGGAGCCGCGGCCGAUCAGGCUGUUGGUGAGGUAAUGGCUCACCAAACCUAUAACCGGUACGGGCCGUGGGAGCGGGAGCCCGGAGAUGGGCACUGAGACAAGGGCCCAGGCCCUACGGGGCGCAGCAGUCGCGAAAACUCCGCAAUGCACGAAAGUGUGACGGGGCUACCCCGAGUGCCGUCCGCUGAGGAUGGCUUUUCUCUGCUGUAAGGAGGCGGAGGAAUAAGGAGAGGGCAAGUCUGGUGUCAGCCGCCGCGGUAAUACCAGCUCUCCGAGUGGUAGGGAUGAUUAUUGGGCUUAAAGCGUCCGUAGCCGGCCUUUCAAGUCUCUCGUUAAAUCCAGCGAUUCAAUCGUUGGACUGCGGGAGAUACUGUUAGGCUAGGGGACGGGAGAAGCCGACGGUAUUUCCGGAGUAGGGGUAAAAUCCUAUAAUCCCGGGAAGACCACCAGUGGCGUAGGCGGUCGGCUAGCACGCGCUCGACGGUGAGGGACGAAAGCUGGGGGAGCGAACCGGAUUAGAUACCCGGGUAGUCCCAGCUGUAAACGAUGCGGACUAGGUGUUGGAGCGGCUACGAGCCGCUUCAGUGCCGCAGGGAAGCCAUUAAGUCCGCCGCCUGGGGAGUACGGCCGCAAGGCUGAAACUUAAAGGAAUUGGCGGG
rnacentral:rRNA from 1 species